rnacentral:tRNA from 1 species
GGGCCUAUAGCUCAGUCGGUUAGAGCAGAGGACUCAUAAUCCUUUGGUCCACAGUUCGAGUCUGUGUGGGCCCA